CGGCGACCGGCGGACGGGUGCGUAACGCGUAUGUAACCUACCUUUGACAGGGGGAUAACAUCGAGAAAUUGGUACUAAUACCCCAUAACAUCACCGGAGGCAUCUUCGGUGGUUGAAAACUCAGGUGGUCAGAGAUGGACAUGCGUUGUAUUAGCUAGUUGGUGAGGUAACGGCUCACCAAGGCGACGAUACAUAGGGGGACUGAGAGGUCAACCCCCCACAUUGGUACUGAGACACGGACCAAACUCCUACGGAAGGCAGCAG
rnacentral:rRNA from 1 species